UUGGCAGUGAAACGCUCUGAAAUACCUGCUUGACCGAGAUGCUUCUACCAUGGAGGUUUUUCCCUCAAGAACUAAUCUGAAUUCAUAUCAAACGUGUUCUUAACCGUAAAGAGUAACAGCCCGCUGUAACCGUGGCUGUAUCGCCUCCCCUGACGGACUACUAAGACAGAGCUGCCACAUCUGGAUGAGCAGAGACAUCUGAUCAUCCUGCCCUAACAUGCUGCUGGGGGGCCGGUACCGGGACAACAACCACCCCGCACACACGCCCCGGCCGGGAAGCACACCGGCAGCCUCGCUAGAGUGAAGGGGCCGCCGUGCUGGCCCCCCGGGACUUCAACAGAACCGAGUCCCGACCUGGAGCUCCUUAUGGCUGUAUAUGAUGAGAACAUCCUGAAGAACCCGUUCUACCUGGCGCUGGAGAAGCAGAGACCGGACCUCUGCAGCCGAGUGGCAGAGCUCCACGGCAUUGUUCUGGUUCCAUGUUGUGGAAGUGUGAGCGUCAGCAGCUACUCGGACUCUCACUUUGACAGCUACGUCCUCCAGCCGGAGGAUGACAGAUACAAAACUGUGGAUGGAAAGGAGGUCAGGAUCCAGGACAGGCGGGUCCUGCUUGGAGCCGGCUUCCCUCAUCCAGCUGUGGUCCCCAUCCUGUUUGAGGAAACCUUCUACAACGACCAGGAGCAGAGCUACAGCAUCCUCUGCAUCUCCCGGCCCAUGGACGUGGAGCCCAGCCCGGCCGAGAUCAGCCCGCCCCCGCCCUACUGCCUGAGGAGCCUGGACGACGUCCGGGAGUUCCUGGGACGCCACGCCCAGAAACUGGACAAAUUCAUCCAGAGCUUCUGUCAGACGUUCAAGGAGCAGGAAAAGAAGGGAUUCCGUCACCAGAUAGACUUGGUGAAUGGACUUUACACUAAAUGUCUUCAGUGUUUGCUGAGAGAUUCUCAACUGAAACUUCUGGCGAAGCAGGAGCUUCAGAUGACUCUGCUCAAACAGGCGGUGGAGAUGUAUGUUCAUCAUGGUAUCCAUGACUUAAUAUUUAACUUUGUGGGAACUCUUGAAGCCAGCCAGGAGGCUGCCUUCAACAAAAUCACCAGGAGUCUGCAGGAUCUGCAGCAGAAAGACCUGGGAGUCAAGCCUCAGUUCAGUAUAAACCUGUCCCGGGCAAAGAGAGAGCUGAGUCAGCUCAACCAGCAGACGUCCCCCCUCCUCAAGCUGCUCUGCCUGCGCAGAGUCGUCCUCACCGCCACCCAGACCCCAACACGCACCGUCAGUAUCGAAGCCGUGAGCGCAGACGACCUUCUCCCAGUCGUCCUCUACCUGCUGGUGAAGACGGAAAUCCCCAACUGGAUGGCUAAUCUGAGCUACAUCAGGAACUUCUGCUUCAGCCACUCCACCAAGGACGAGCUCAGCUACUGUCUCAGCACGUUUGAGGCAGCCGUGGAAUACAUCAGCCUGGGGAAGCUGCAGGAUCUCCACUCUGUUUCAGGUGAUGUUGGUGAGAAGACGCUGUUCAAGGAGAGGAUGAGUGUUCUGGCUCCAAAUGCUGCGGCGCCCAUCCACUCUCUGUUCGAGCACGUAGCAAAUGGAAAUGAGGCAGAAGUGGAGCGUCUGCUGAGAGAAGCCGAGGGUGACAGAGAUGUCCGGAUGUGCCACCCACUCUGUUCCUGUGAUCUCUGUGAUGUCCAGCUGUCUGGGCGCUUGAACGACCUGUCCAUCGUCACACCGUUCUCCAGGGACGACCGAGGCUACACUCCCCUGCACGUCGCUGCCAUCUGCGGUCAGGCCCAACUCAUCGACUUACUGGUGCGGAAAGGAGCAGCGGUAAAUGCUACGGACUACCACGCCCUCACACCGCUGCACCUCGCCUGUCAGCGGGGAUACCAGGGAGUCUCUCUGCUGCUGCUGCACUACAAGGCCAACACGGACGCACAGGACAACUACGGCAACACAGCGCUGCAUCUGGCCUGCAUGUACGGACACGAGGACUGUGUGAAGGCCUUGGUGUACUACGACGUCCAGUCGUGCCGUCUGGAUGUGCAGAACGAUAAAGGUGACACGCCGCUGCACCUGGCAGCGCGCUGGGGGUAUGAAAGCAUCAUAGAGGUGCUGCUGGAGAACGGAGCCAGCACCCACCUCUUCAACAAGAGCAAAGAGUCUCCAGUGCACUGUGCACUCAACUCUAAGAUCCUCAUGCUGCUGCAGUCGAUGAGGAACAGCCACCAUCGCAGCGGGAUUGAUUCUCCGAGCUGCUCACCUCUGGCCUCGGACUGCAGCAGCCGGCGUUCGUCCAUCUCCAGCACGUCGUCUCUGGGUUCAGAGGCCAAACCAGAGGGCGAGCGAGUCCAGCACAGAGAGGUGGAGAAGCUGCUGCGGGCCUCGGCUGACGGAGACGUGGAGAUGGUGCGCUACCUGCUGGAGUGGAUGGAUGAAGAGGAGGAGGAUGAGGAGCUGCGCUCCGAGGCGCGCCUCUGCCACCCGCUCUGCCAGUGUGAAAGCUGUGCUCCCACUCAAAAGCUGACCGUGCAGCAGGCCGGGACUCUGGGCGUGAACAGCUCCAACUGUGACGGCUUCACGCCGCUCCACGUCGCGUCCCUGCACGGCCGCGCCGCGCUGGCCGCUCUGCUGAUACGACACGGCGCCGGCGUCAACAUGCGGACCAACCAGAGCGCCACGCCGCUGCACCUGGCCUGCCAGAACAGCCACGCUCCGGUGGUGAGGCUUCUGCUGGAAUGCAACGCCAAGCUGAAUAAGAAGGAUCACUAUGGAAACACACCUCUGAUCCUUGCCUGUCUCCGUGGAAACCUGGAGACGGUCAUGAUGCUGUUAGAGAACAACGCCGUGGUGAACGUGGCGAACCUCCAGGGAAACACGGCGCUGCACGAGGCGGUGCAGGGCGGCCACCAGGAGCUGGUGGAGCUGCUGCUGAGGAGCGGGGCCUCGCCCGGCCUCCGGAACAAGAGGCAGAGGACGGCGCUGGACUGUGCUUACGAGCUGGGUGGUAAGAACACUGAAAUCCUGAGAACUUUGCAGAAGGCAUCAGGACUUUCCCCUGAUGACGAACCAAUAAAACUCCUCUCUGUGCCCAAAGGAGCCCUGGCUCACUCGUUUGUUCAGCGUCUGAGGCUGCAGGACAACUCCAACGGCAGGAAGCAGAAGCUGGCUCAGUCCAUCAGCAGGAUGCAGCAGAUGAGGAAAGGCUCGUUUGGAUCUCCCCCCAGGAGUUCGGGUAUCACCCAGAUGAGUCCGAGCAGGAGGCGACUGAGGCGAGGGGAGACGGUAGACGGGAGCAGCCUUGCAGGAAGCCCUGACAGCCGCUGGGCUCAGAAAGCUCGUCCUCUGAGCAGCUGCAGCAGCCUGGACUCUGCAGCGCUGACGGCAGACGCUCCGCCGGCCCCUCGCUCCCGAGACGCCUCAGACGGAGACGAGCCGGCAGACCGUACACACCACUGCUCUAACGUUGCUUGGAUGUCUGUAGAUCUAGACGAUCCUCCCCCCGACCCCAGUGAGCCACACUCACCUGAUGAGCCCGGUUGCAGUGCAGGUGCUGAGACGUCCACACCUGCACGAGCCGUCAGCUCCUUCUCCGGACUCAGCGCAGCCAAUCAGAGAGACCACAGCCCUGGGGAGUCACGCCACGCCCACUCUGGUUCUGAUGCCGAGUCAUGCAAAAGCCCCGCCCUCUCUCGUACUGAUGCUGAGUCAUGCGACGGCCACACCCACUCUGAUUCUGAUGCCGAGUCAUGGGACGGCCCUGCCCACACUUGUACUGAUGCUGAGUCAUGCCACGCCCACUCUGAUUCUCAUGUCGAGUCAUGCAAAAGCCCUGCCCGCUCUCAUACUGAAGCUGAGUCCUGCGACAGCCCCGCCCUCUCUGAUUCUGAGUCCUGCGACAGCCACGCCCUCUCUCAUCUUGAAGCUGAAUCCGUACAGACGGAGGCAGGAGAUGAAGGUUGAGGUGCAGCCUCCCGUUCUCACCCGCCCCCUCUCAUCCACUCCCACCCAGAUGCAGGAAAUGAGAGCAGGGAGGAAUCCGGGAGCCCGUGAUGCAGCUGAUGGCGUCUAGAGUUCUGUUAAACAACUUUCAGAAGACGUCUGAGAAGCACAAGGCUUUUCCCUUUAAGGAAAGACACAAGAAAGCACAUUGUUUUAGAUGAAAUUUGACCAACUGCAAUUCAUCUGAGAUCAUCAUGCAUCAUGAGAGGGAGGAGAGCAGGAGGACUGAAGCCAGAGACUGAUGGUGUCUAGAGACUGAUGGUGUUAUUUGGAGAUGGAUCUGCCGUGAUGUGGAACAGCUGCAGUACUGUAAACCCUGUAAAACCCUCCAACUGUCCCACUUCCUUCAUGUAUGUGACUCCAGUCGUGUUCAGGAUGAAGCUGGUUUUGAUGUCCCCCCCACUCACACAACUCACUCCGUUUUAAAAUGUCACAUUUAAGCUGAAGUUAUGUCAAACUGCAGUUAAUCAAGUUCACAUUAUUUUGUACCACUGAUUUAGUUUUCAGGUUUGAGUGUGAAAAAUGUUGGAUGUGCCUUAUUUAAUUCACACCCAAAUAACCAAAUAAUAAAAGUGAGUUGGAUAAAUA